CGAACGGGUGAGUAAUGCGUGACCAACCUGCCCCAUGCUCCAGAAUAGCUCUUGGAAACGGGUGGUAAUGCUGGAUGCUCCAACUUGACGCAUGUCUUGUUGGGAAAGUGUUUAGUGGCAUGGGAUGGGGUCGCGUCCUAUCAGCUUGUAGGCGGGGUAAUGGCCCACCUAGGCUUCGACGGGUAGCCGGCCUGAGAGGGCGGACGGCCACAUUGGGACUGAGAUACGGCCCAGACUACUACGGGAGGCAGCAGCC
rnacentral:rRNA from 1 species